UACGUAGGGUGCAAGCGUUAAUCGGAAUUACUGGGCGUAAAGCGUGCGCAGGCGGCUUUGCAAGACAGAUGUGAAAGCCCCGGGCUUAACCUGGGAAUGGCAUUUGGGACUGCAAGGCUGGAGUGUGGCAGAGGAGACUGGAAUUCCUGGUGUAGCAGUGAAAUGCGUAGAGAUCGGAAAGAACACCAACGGCGAAAGCACUCUGCUGGGCCGACACUGACACUGAGAGACGAAAGCUAGGGGAGCGAAUGGG
rnacentral:rRNA from 1 species